UCCCUGGCAGUCCAGUGGCUAGGAUUCAGUGCUUUCACUUCCGUGGCCUGGGUUCAAUCCCUGGUCAGGGAA
rnacentral:tRNA from 1 species